CUGGCUCAGGAUGAACGCUAGCGACAGGCUUAACACAUGCAAGUCGAGGGGCAGCAUAAAAGUAGCAAUACUUGGUGGCGACCGGCGCACGGGUGAGUAACGCGUAUGCAACCUACCUAUCAGAGGGGAAUAACCCGGCGAAAGUCGGACUAAUACCGCAUAAAACAGGGACACCGCAUGGUGAUAUUUGUUAAAGAAAUUCGCUGAUAGAUGGGCAUGCGUUCCAUUAGGUAGUUGGUGAGGUAACGGCUCACCAAGCCGACGAUGGAUAGGGGAACUGAGAGGUUGGUCCCCCACACUGGUACUGAGACACGGACCAGACUCCUACGGGAGGCAGCAGUGAGGAAUAUUGGUCAAUGGGCGAGAGCCUGAACCAGCCAAGUCGCGUGAAGGAAGAAGGAUCUAUGGUUCGUAAACUUCUUUUGCAGGGGAAUAAAGUGCAGGACGUGUCCUGUUUUGUAUGUACCCUGAGAAUAAGGAUCGGCUAACUCCGUGCCAGCCGCCGC
rnacentral:rRNA from 1 species